rnacentral:rRNA from 1 species
AUUGAACGCUGGCGGCAGGCCUAACACAUGCAAGUCGAACGCGUGGCGGACGGGUGAGUAAUGUCUGGGAAACUCCCUGAUGGAGGGGGAUAAUUACUGGAAACGGUAGCUAAUACCGCAUACCAUCGGCUUUGCCCAGAUGGGAUUAGCUAGUAGGUAGGGUAACGGCUAACCUAGGCCACGAUCCAUAGCUGGUCUCAGAGGAUGACCAGCCACACUGGAACUGAGACACGGUCCAGACUCCUACGGGAGGCAGCAGUGGGGAAUAUUGCACAAUGGGCGCAAGCCUGAUGGAGCAAUGCCGCGUGUAUGAAGAAGGCCUUCGGAUUGUAAAGUACUUUCAGCGGGGAGGCGUUACCUGCAGAAGAAGCACCGGCUAACUACGUGCCAGCAGCCGCGGUAAUAC